rnacentral:rRNA from 1 species
UACGUAGGGGGCAAGCGUUGUCCGGAAUCAUUGGGCGUAAAGCGCGUGUAGGCGGCUCGAUAAGUCUGCUGUGAAAGCCCGGGGCUCAACCCCGGAAUAGCCUUUGAAACUAGAUUGCUUGAAUCCAGGAGAGGUGAGUGGAAUUCCGAGUGUAGAGGUGAAAUUCGUAGAUAUUCGCAAGAACACCAGUGGCGAAGGCGGCUCACUGGCCCGGUACUGACGCUGAGGUGCGAAAGCGUGGGGAGCAACAGG